GUGACCUGCGGAGGAUCAUUAAAGAGACGUUGCCCUUCGGGGUAUACCUCCCACCCAUUGUUUAUUAUACCUUUGUUGCUUUGGCAGACCCGGCUUCGGCCCACCGGCUCCGGCUGGUCAGUGUCUGCCAGAGGACCUAAAACUCUGUUUGUUAAUAUUGUCUGAGUACUAUAUAAUAGUUAAAACUUUCAACAACGGAUCUCUUGGUUCUGGCAUCGAUGAAGAACGCAGCGAAAUGCGAUAAGUAAUGUGAAUUGCAGAAUUCAGUGAAUCAUCGAAUCUUUGAACGCACAUUGCGCCCUCUGGUAUUCCGGGGGGCAUGCCUGUUCGAGCGUCAUUACAACCCUCAAGCUUUGCUUGGUAUUGGACAUUGCCAGUUUCUGGCAGGUCUUAAAAUCAGUGGCGGUGCCAUUUGGCUUCAAGCGUAGUAAUUCUUCUCGCUUUGGAGAUCCAGGUGGUUACUUGCCAAUAACCCCCAAUUUUUUCAGGUCGACCUCGGAUCAGGUAGGGAUACCCGCUGAACUUAAGCAUAUCAAUAAGCGGAGGA
rnacentral:rRNA from 1 species